CAGGAUGUAGGUAUGGGGUGGACACAUGAUCAACUUCCUUGAAGAUCAUCAUGGUAGAUUUGACAUGUGCCAACCUCUAUACUUAUCCUGGUCCCAAUAAAUUGGAUUCAUCAGCAGUGGUGAUUCUUUGGUGCCAAUUCAUCAUUUAUAUGACAUUAACAAGAGGAUUUUAAUUUGUAUCUAUGUCCAUUAAACCAUUAUAUUUUUAGACCAUGA